rnacentral:rRNA from 1 species
GACGAACGCUGGCGGCGUGCUUAACACAUGCAAGUCGAACGAUGAAGCGGUGCUUGCACCGUGGAUUAGUGGCGAACGGGUGAGUAAUACGUGAGUGACCUACCUUUGACUCUGGGAUAAGCCUGGGAAACUGGGUCUAAUACCGGAUACGACCAAUCUCUGCAUGGGGCGUUGGUGGAAAGCGUUAUGGAGUGGUUUUAGAUGGGCUCACGGCCUAUCAGCUUGUUGGUGAGGUAAUGGCUUACCAAGGCGACGACGGGUAGCCGGCCUGAGAGGGUGACCGGCCACACUGGGACUGAGACACGGCCCAGACUCCUACGGGAGGCAGCAGUGGGGAAUAUUGCACAAUGGGCGCAAGCCUGAUGCAGCGACGCCGCGUGAGGGAUGACGGCCUUCGGGUUGUAAACCUCUGUUAGCAUCGAAGAAGCGAAAGUGACGGUAGGUGCAGAGAAAGCGCCGGCUAACUACGUG